rnacentral:rRNA from 1 species
GACGAACGCUGGCGGCGUGCUUAACACAUGCAAGUCGUACGGUAAGGCCCUUUCGGGGGUACACGAGUGGCGCACGGGUGAGUAACACGUGAGUAACCUGCCCACAACUUUGGGAUAACGCUAGGAAACUGGUGCUAAUACUGGAUAUGUGCUCCUGCUGCAUGGUGGGGGUUGGAAAGCUCCGGCGGUUGUGGAUGGACUCGCGGCCUAUCAGCUUGUUGGUGGGGUAGUGGCCUACCAAGGCGGCGACGGGUAGCCGGCCUGGGAGGGUGACCGGCCACAUUGGGACUGAGAUACGGCCCAGACUCCUACGGGAGGCAGCAGUGGGGAAUAUUGCACAAUGGGCGCAAGCCUGAUGCAGCAACGCCGCGUGCGGGAUGACGGCCUUCGGGUUGUAAACCGCUUUCAGCAGGGACGAAGCUUUUUGUGACGGUACCUGCAGAAGAAGCACCGGCUAACUACGUG